rnacentral:rRNA from 1 species
GACGAACGCUGGCGGCGUGCCUAAUACAUGCAAGUCGAACGAACUCUGGUAUUGAUUGGUGCUUGCAUCAUGAUUUACAUUUGAGUGAGUGGCGAACUGGUGAGUAACACGUGGGAAACCUGCCCAGAAGCGGGGGAUAACACCUGGAAACAGAUGCUAAUACCGCAUAACAACUUGGACCGCAUGGUCCGAGCUUGAAAGAUGGCUUCGGCUAUCACUUUUGGAUGGUCCCGCGGCGUAUUAGCUAGAUGGUGGGGUAACGGCUCACCAUGGCAAUGAUACGUAGCCGACCUGAGAGGGUAAUCGGCCACAUUGGGACUGAGACACGGCCCAAACUCCUACGGGAGGCAGCAGUAGGGAAUCUUCCACAAUGGACGAAAGUCUGAUGGAGCAACGCCGCGUGAGUGAAGAAGGGUUUCGGCUCGUAAAACUCUGUUGUUAAAGAAGAACAUAUCUGAGAGUAACUGUUCAGGUAUUGACGGUAUUUAACCAGAAAGCCACGGCUAACUACGUGCCAGCAGCCGCGGUAAUACGUAGGUGGCAAGCGUUGUCCGGAUUUAUUGGGCGUAAAGCGAGCGCAGGCGGUUUUUUAAGUCUGAUGUGAAAGCCUUCGGCUCAACCGAAGAAGUGCAUCGGAAACUGGGGACCUUGAGUGCAGAAGAGGACAGUGGAACUCCAUGUGUUAGCGGUGAAAUGCGUAGAUAUAUGGAAGAACACCAGUGGCGAAGGCGGCUGUCUGGUCUGUAACUGACGCUGAGGCUCGAAAGUAUGGGUAGCAAACAGGAUUAGAUACCCUGGUAGUCCAUACCGUAAACGAUGAAUGCUAAGUGUUGGAGGGUUUCCGCCCUUCAGUGCUGCAGCUAACGCAUUAAGCAUUCCGCCUGGGGAGUACGGCCGCAAGGCUGAAACUCAAAGGAAUUGACGGGGGCCCGCACAAGCGGUGGAGCAUGUGGUUUAAUUCGAAGCUACGCGAAGAACCUUACCAGGUCUUGACAUACUAUGCAAAUCUAAGAGAUUAGACGUUCCCUUCGGGGACAUGGAUACAGGUGGUGCAUGGUUGUCGUCAGCUCGUGUCGUGAGAUGUUGGGUUAAGUCCCGCAACGAGCGCAACCCUUAUUAUCAGUUGCCAGCAUUAAGUUGGGCACUCUGGUGAGACUGCCGGUGACAAGCCGGAGGAAGGUGGGGAUGACGUCAAAUCAUCAUGCCCCUUAUGACCUGGGCUACACACGUGCUACAAUGGAUGGUACAACGAGUUGCGAACUCGCGAGAGUAAGCUAAUCUCUUAAAGCCAUUCUCAGUUCGGAUUGUAGGCUGCAACUCGCCUACAUGAAGUCGGAAUCGCUAGUAAUCGCGGAUCAGCAUGCCGCGGUGAAUACGUUCCCGGGCCUUGUACACACCGCCCGUCACACCAUGAGAGUUUGUAACACCCAAAGUCGGUGGGGUAACCUUUUAGGAACCAGCCGCCUAAGGUGGGACAGAUGAUUAGGGUG